rnacentral:rRNA from 1 species
GUUAAAGUAAUUUUAUAAAUAAAUAAUUAUUUUAAUUAUAAAAAUAGUAAUGUAAAUGAAUAAGAAAAAAAUUUUUAAAAAGUAAUUUUCAUUUAAUGUACCUUUUGUAUCAGGAUUUAUUAAAAAUUUAAUUUUAAUAAUUAAAAAUUUUUCGAAAAAAAAAGAGUUAAAUUUAUUAAUAUGAAAUUUAAUGUUAAAAAAUUAUUUUAAAUAUUUAUUUAGAGAAGAAAUUUUAUUCAAUUUUUAAGAUAUCUAAUUUUUUUUGAUAUAAAUUUAAUUUAAUGUAAAUUUUAUUAUUUUUUUAAAUUUUUAUAAUUAAUUUUUAAUAAUAAAUUUAUUUUAAAAAUAUAUGGGAUAAUCUAUAUUAUUUAAUUUAAAAAUAAAUUAUUAUUAGGUUUAAAAUUGAUAAAAUAAUAUUUUUAAAAUUAUAAUUUUUUUGAAAAAAUUUAAUAAUUUAUUUAUAGUUAAUAAAUUAUUUUUUAAAAUUUAAUAAGAUUUUUAAAUAUUAUAAAAAAAUAUUUUAAUUAAUUAUAAGAUUAAUAGAAAUUAUGAUAAAAUUAGUAUUUUAAAAAAUUAUUAAAUAAUUAAUAAUUAAAGUAAUUUUUAUAUUUAAAAUUAGGCAAUAAAAUUUUUUUAUUUAAGUUUUUUAAUUAAUUAUAUUAAAUUCAUCUGUUUAAUAAAAACAUAGUUUUAAGUUAAUAAAAUUUAAAAUUUAUUCUGCUCAAUGAUUUUAAUUAAAUUAAAUAGCUGCAGUAUUUUAACUGUACUAAGGUAGCAUAAUCAAUUGUUUUUUAAUUAGGAACUAGAAUGAAGGAAUGAAUGAAAUUUAAACUUUUAUAUAUAUAAUAAAAAAAUUUAUAAUUUAAGUUAAAAUUCUUAAAUAGAAUUAUGGGACGAGAAGACCCUAUAGAAUUUUAUAUAAUUUUUUUAAAAAAAAAUUUAUUUUAAAAAAUUUUUUAUAUUUUAUUGGGGGGAUAAUAAAAUUUAUUUAACUUUUAUAUUAAUAAUAAAUUUUUUAUAAAGAUAUUAAAUUAUUUAUAAACAUUUAUGAAUGAAUUAAAUAGAAUGUAAAAAUAGAUAAUUUUUUUUAAUUAAAAUUAAUUACCUUAGGGAUAACAGCGUAAUAAUUUUUGAAAGAUCUUAUUAAGAAAAAUGAUUGCGACCUCGAUGUUGAAUUAAAUUAUAAAUUAAAUGAAGAAGUUUAAUUAUUUAGUCUGUUCGACUAUUAAAAUUUUACAUGAUUUGAGUUUAGAUCGGUGUGAGCCAGAUCGGUUUUUAUCUAUAAUAAAUUUAUAUAUUUUUGUACGAAAGGACUUUUUAUUAUGAAUAAUUUUUUUUGAUAAGAAUAAUAGUAAUUUAAAUAAU